UGUACUGAGGAUGUGCCCCUGACCAAUGAAGAGCAUUGGUGAACAGAUAUUCCACACAGAUAUGUAGUGUUUUUAAGUAAAAAGAGCCUAAAACAGGACGGGUAAGUCGUGUUAAAACCUAUUGGUUAUUACAUUGAUAUUUUCCUGAACAAUAACACAUGCCUCUUCAUAUAGACACACUAAACCGUGGAAGUUGGGGAACAAACAAAUGAGUAAAUGAACAAACAGGAGCUCCAGACAGGAAUAUGAAACUUUAACAUGAAACAUCAUCACAGGUUAUGAACAUAUUCUUCAUUUUUCUGUUUCAAGACAACGACGUGAACGUCUUUAAUCCCGCCUCUUUGUCUAAUUGGUCGAGAUGUUUUCCAUCACAAGCAGGAUUUGGACUAAUAGUAGAAGUGCAGGAGAAUCAGAUCGGUUUUAUGAUGAAGCUGAGGACUCUCACCAUGUGACUGAUCACAGGUCAUUUUCUGUCAUUCGGUGAUGCAUUCAGGACGACUAAGGAGCUGAUGGUGAAGUCACAUGACCAUGUGCUUUCUGGGUUAGAGGAUCCACUGAGCUUCUUUCUCUUUGGUUUCCUCCGUUCUGCACCUGUCGGCAUUGACCUGAAUGUCUGAGGGACAUGAAACCAGCUGGUGUAGUGAGUGCCCCCCCCCCUACACACACACCACUAUGACACUGCCCACAGAGGAGUCAUUGGGCUCUGCCCCCCCAACAAGCACCUGUAUUCCAUUUCUCAUCUGGUCUCGCCGGAGAGCUCUAAGCCUUGUUUUAAUCCUCGCUAGAAAACAGCUUUCAGAGGAUUAGCACCGAGGGAGGGGGCUCCUUUCGCCUCCUUCUUCUCCCCUAGACAAGUUAACCUUCCACACAGGACUCUGCAAAGGCUUCCACUUUUAUCCCGCCUUCCUUCCCGUUGAUACCCAGUGGCCUCCGUUACAGCCCCCCCCCCUAAAGCCGUAACUUCACUGAGUAGUUCCACGCUAUCUGGAGGAAGUCGACCUCCCCGUAGUAGAGCUACUGUGUGAGGUGCAGGUCAGAACCCCCCCUUACAAUACGUAUGUUGGGGGUGGGUGUAUUAUUGUUCCCCAGUGGGUGUUUAUGUGUUGAUGUGAACAAAGACAGGAUUAUUCCGUUAAUGUGUGUGUGUGGCCACGCCCCCCCGCGGCGAGAUGGUAAAUUUAACUUGUUUCUUCUUCUUCUUUCUGUAAACCCUGUUAACGGAGCGUCUUGACAUGUUUUAGGAGCAACGAGAGAUGAAAGCAGGAAAAGUGGCUCCUGUUCCUCCACGUUCCCAUUGGACGGCUUGCCUGCCGCUCUUUUGUCUGGGAACCAGGGAAGACUCCUCCCAUCUGAGCUUUGUGAAUAGCUGCCGCUGAUGACCGGGAAGAAGCCUUAACUGAUGUGGGUGGAUGGAACCCGCUCAUGAUUAGCCUAGCUUAGCACAAAGGAAACCCCCUUUUAGCAACUCAAAGUCAGCAGAUGGUGAUGAUGCAGACGGACCUCAGCAUGUUUCUAUGAAGGUGAACCUUCAUUCACCUUCUCAUCCAUAGGUUUGCUAAUUCCACCUGGGCUGUCAGAAGUAGGCACAGCUCUCUCCUCAUUGGACACCAGGAAAGAAGGACAUCGUGGGGGUCGUCGUGGCGCAGGGGUAGAGAGGGUGCACUGGGAACUGUAAGGUUGGUAGUUCGAGUCCUGGCUGCCCCAUGUCCAAGGUGGAGUGUCCUUGAGCAAGACACCUAACUCCUAAUUGCUCCCUGGGCAAAAACGUAAGUCGCUUUGAAUAAAAGCGUCAGCUAAAUGACCUGUAAUGCGAUGUGAUGGUCAUUCUCUCUUUUAGAUCCGGCUGGGUCUCCACCGGCUCUGGAGACUCUCCACCUUCUCCCCCAGCUCACCUUGAUUACAUCACAUGUCAUUUAGCUGACGCUUUUAUCCAAUGUAUCAGUGAAGUUUCAAUGGUGGAACAGCAUUGACAGAAACGCUUCAGGUAAAGCUUUUUGAGAAGAACAUUGUCUCAAACGCCUCUGAAAGGUCUUUUCUUGUUUCUGGAAAGCGUCAAUCAAAGCGCUCCAGCUGAUUUUUGUUGAAUUUCUUUAAUGUUUUUACAACGUUUUGUUGGUUUUUACUCAUCGGAGUGAAAUGAUGUUUUCUCCUUCACAAGCCUCCGUCACACUAAUCAAUCUGCUGUUAUUCAAACAUUCUCCGAUCCCUGUUGCGUUAUUUACAUUUCAGAAGGUACAAAUGACACGGGUCAAAGCGUCUGGAGGAAACCGGAAGAUGUUUUCUCUCUCCGGGUGGAGGCGGAGGACGGGGAUUAAAUGGGGCUUAUUGAUCGUGGAUCAGCGGUUACUCUCAGACGAAUGCGUUCAUGGUUGCAUUCAGGGGGUUAAGCACUGAAGCUGAGCUGGAGAAGCAGCAGACAGUUAAUUAUUUUGACUGUUCACCUCCGGCUGCACAAAAGAAAAAAGGAGCUGAGCCUUUUGUCUGCUGGUAGACGCCACGUGCUAAAGGUUGGUAGACCCACGGUGGUUGUGACAUUAAUACUUAAUUCUAGACACUACGGUUUAAUAUCAGCAUUCCUCACACUGUGCUGCCCCAACAUGCUCAGGUACGCGUUCUGCAUUGUGUCUUUACAGACAUGAUCAAAAUGACGUUGCCAUGGCGACCUGCUUUCACAGCUUCCUUUUGUUAGUUUCUCUGUUGAUAAUUUUGGGACUGACCAUUGAAGUCGAGGUUUUUACUGUUUGAAUUUGGUGAACUGUCCAAAGAAAGCGAGAUUAGUGCUGAUGGUGACGGAUUAUGUAUCUGAGCCUCGCUAAUCGAAGCCAGGAUGCAAAUCAAUCUGCACACCGAAGGCCCCCUUCUACAGGAACACAUUUCAUUUCUUGAUCCAGCUCCAGAUUUAAGAUCCCCCUUCUUUUCAGUGUCAACAUUGUCAAACAUUUUCAAAGAGCAUCUGAAGAGAACACAGAACAAGUGUUGACUGAAAAGGAGAUUUACUACUCCUCCUCCUCCAGAGAGCCUUUUGUGAGGAGCGAAGAAAAGACCGAAAUAAUCUAAUCCUCUAAGCAGGAGGAACACGACCGAGAAGAGACAUGAAACAGAAAAUUCAUUUAUCUGUCUGCUGAAUGAUGACAAGACAACAACAACAACAUCAACAACUACAUGGCCUCAGGACACAAGCAUCAGCUGGAUGAAAAGAGUUUUUUUAUUUUUACAAACUUUAUUCAAACAAAGCGUGAAACAGGACCAAAACAGUUAUUCAUGCAUCAAAACGACAAAGCGUAAAACGCAGCGUUAAAUAUCCACUCGUCUCCAGACACGCAACACAUCACCUCCGUGUAGCACCGUUUCUGAACCAAAUCCAAAUGUUAUUCAUUCUUUUAAAAGAUGUAACGCCACGUGGCUCUGCUGCUGUGGAUGGUCAGCGUGGCCUCUCCUGUCACCAGGACCAGCAGUGACACUUAUAUAUUCAUACAUAUAUAUAUAUAUAUAGAUCAGAUCUCAAUGUGAAAACAAGGAUAUUGGAUAUCUAUACUGAUAUGAAUAGUUUAAUGCCUUUAAUAAAAAGAUCCCAAAUCUUUUCAUGGAAAUAAAAAGGUUUGAGGCUACAAGGGGCUUAAUUUUAUAGACAAAAAUUAUGAAAAAUUAAAAAAAAUUAUGUCGCAGUCCAUUUUGCCAAAAUUCAGUUUCUGCAAUUCAAAAUGCUUCUUAAUAUCUUCAUCAUGUGGCCGCCAGUUGACAAUUUGCGUUGUUUGCAACCAUUUGUGUGUGCAUUGACUUUGCAUGGAAUCCAAAAAAUGUGCUUACCCUUUGGCGUGAACGCAGCAUAAGCAGACGGAGUUCACGGAGGCAUCAGAUGAUCUCUGCGGCCUUCCCUCUUUGAAGAGAUGAAGACCUUGUGGUUAUGAAUUAGUCUGGAAUAUUUAUUGUUUGUUAACAUCCUUCAAAACGUGUGUAUUUAUGCUAAAUUGCUUUGAUCAAAAGCCGUCGCCAAAGAAAUCAAAUUUCUUUUAUCUUCAGUGAAGGCAUCAGGCUUCUAUCUUUUCAUUAACUUAAAUGAAGUGCUAAUUAAAACAUUCCGGUUGUACAGAAUUGUUGAAGGUUGAGAAAUAUAAUUUCAGACUUUGAGCUGAAAACAUGAAAAAGAAGUCAAACAAGAAACACUCAUCAAAGAUGAAUGAAACAAAGGACACAUUUAGAGAAGCUUUGGGAAACUGGUUGAUCUCAGGUCCUCUCUUCUUCUCUCCAAAGAUCUCAGGUCCUCUCUUCUUCUCUCCAAAGAUCUCAGGUCCUCUCUUCUUCUCUCCAAAGAUCUCAGGUCCUCUCUUCUUCUCUCCAAAGAUCUCAGGUCCUCUCUUCUUCUCUCCAAAGAUCUCAGGUCCUCUCUUCUUCUCUCCAAAGAUCUCAGGUCCUCUCUUCUUCUCUCCAAAGAUCUCAGGUCUUCUCUUCUGCUCUGUCCACUUAGCAUGGCAGCACUCCCCUGAGGAACGGAGGCCUCUGAUAGGUCUAAUGUUUCAGGUCUUCCUGCAAGAAAAUAUGCUGAAUUGUUGAAAGCAGGAGACAAAGCGGACGCCCUCAUCCCGCGGAGCCGCCAGAAGCGUCCUCCAUGCUGACAUGUCAGAGGAGGCUGAUUGGCCGUCACGUCGAGCAGAAAUAAAGAGACGUUGAUGAUUAAAUUUGCUGGCAGUCGGCGCAGCAGAAAACCGUUGUCUGUUUUUACAUUGUUAGUAAUCCUGUUAAUGGAAAGUGUGCUGCCAGAGACGGGGGACGGGGACGGGACGGUUGUUCCUGCGCCAAAAUAAAACAUUCGUUGAGCCGUGAAUCGGUUGUUUGAUAGCAGCAGAGCGAGUCCCCUCUCAGUCCUGGUUCUGGUUCUUCUGGACUGAAUAUAUUAGAUAGAAAAGAUUCAUUUAACUGAAUGAAGUUUCUUCUCUGAGAUUAAAACUAUAUAUUCACGACAAUGACAUCAUGACUUCAAUGUGAUAUCAUAUUUAAACCUUUUAAUUAUCAUUUAAAGUGGCCUGUGUAAAGACACAUACGUAUGUAUAUUUUUUCAGUUUGUUAUUGAUUAUUAUGUUUAUUUGAUUACUACAUUUCAUACAGAUGUUUAUUAAAAAAACAUUGUCAUUCAGUAACAAACAAACAGAUCUCACUCAUGCUGCAGAAGAAACUCAUUUUUUAUCUCGGUAUUAUUCUGUGAAUCAUUUCCUUCUCUAAUGCGAGUUCUGCUUUAGAAUUUGACAGUUCAUCUGCUUUCGGUUAUUAAUAGAAAAUAAUCUUAAACCUAUAAGACUUCAUUCAGGAAACAUAACCUGACCCGGAUAACACGCUGUAUCAUAUUUAAUAUGGAAGCAGGCACAAAUAUCUCAGUCUCUCAGAAUGUGAAGCCUCCAAGAUGGUGUGUGACAGACGGAGGGACAAGUGAUGGACCAGUGCCGCCCCCCGCCCCCCGUAGAGGGCCGCAGUGCUACCAAUGGCUAAUUAAUAAAAAUGAUCUGACAGAUGGUGCUGCGGACUAUUUCCCCCCACAGGACGGCGAGGAGACGAGCCGCCGGCCCGGUAAGGAACAACGCUCUGGUCCCGUCUCUGGUCCCGCCCCAUCAGAGGGAGGUGGGGGCAUUAAUGGAGGAUUGGAAGAGACAAAGAGGAGGAGAUUGUUGGAAAAAUGUUGCUCCUUCCCUUUGGACGUGAUCUGAUCGCAGGCUGCUUUUAUUGGCUUGUGGAAUAUUGGUGGAGCACAGGAUUAGAUUUGCCCCCCCGCCCCACCUUCCUCCCUCAGCUUCUACCAUGGAGCCUCAGAAAAAGCAGCUUUGGAUCGAUUCAGAGGACAAAAAUGGGAUGACGGAAACAUAAACAGAUUAUAGACCACUGAAACGGCUUCAUUUCCAGGCAGGGGACAAACCCACAACCCCCCCCCCACACACACACACACACACACACACACACACACACACACACACACACACACACACACACAGCUUUAGUUCUUCUCCAUCCCCACUGCACUUUGACAUCAAACACGUUUAUUGGACAUUAAGGAUUAUUACUCCUGCAAAGUUGUUUGAACUCUUUGGUGGAGCACAUUUUGGUCCAGAUCUUCUACGCAGGCCCACUUCAUACAGACGGGUUUGGUGGGGAUUCUUUGGCGCCGGUACUCUUAUCAAUGCUCUUAUACAUCCGGUUCCUUAAUUAAAAAAUCAAGAACUUGAUCAACAUUUGGAAAAAAAAAUGUGCCCCUUUAAAUGUUUUAUUAUACAAACGUUGUUUGGCUCGAUGUGUCUCUCAGUGAUGAGAUGUCCUCAGUCUCACGGCUGUAGUGAAACAAUACGCUCAUUCUCAUUUCUUAGAAUGUAAGAAAGUUUCUUUUAAUUCCAUCUGUAGAACCGCUCUGCCCUGUAUUUUUUAAUUUUUAAUUUAAUAUUAAUAUACUGUUAUUCGUCAAUACAGUUGAAAACUGUAAAAUAUAGCAGUUGACGUCUUGGAACAAAAUAUUUUUUACAGCUGUUUAAAGUUGCGGUAUAGUACUGCAUUUAAUCCAUUGACUCUAACUCCGCCCACUACUUGCAUCAUAUAAUCACUGUAGCAGCUGCAUGUAAGUUUAUGUAAGUAUAACUUAGAUAGAUAUGUCUAAUAUAUAUUACAUAUUUCUAUAUAUCUAUAUAUGCAUGUGAAUUUCCCCAUUGUGGGACUAAUAAAACCAAGUCACAGCAACCCAACCGCCAAGUCAAAUUCCUUGUAUGUCUGACAUAUUAUGGCAAUACAUUUCUUGAUAUAUAUAUAUAUAUAUAUUGAUGAGCCACACCUGAGCCGGGGUGGCUCGGCCUUAAAGAUCCAUCCAUUCAGAAACCGGGGGUUCACUGAGAAGAAGACCUGGGGGGUAUUCCAGAAAGCAGGUUUAGUGUAAACUCAGAGUUUGUUAACCCUGAGAUGAGGGAGGUAACUAAAGCUCAGGCUCAGUCUCCAUGGUAACUGAGCCCGUGAACAUCACCUGGUCGCGAGCAGGUUUUCUUUCUCCCUCCACAGGCUCCUCCCUCUGACAGCAGCCCAGCCAAUCACACAGCGCGCUUUACUUUCCUCAUUCACUCUGUAUCAGUUUACACAUAUGAACAAAAUAAGAUGUUACAAUCGCUAACAAGCGUUUGUCCAAACAGUUGUCACAUUUUAAAAACUCUAAACACAAUUAGCACAGCAUCGGUGUUUUGUGGCCAAACAAACACAUUUCAUGUCGUUUUCACACAAUAUGCAGUCAGUGAACACAUGUCCACAAUGCUUACAUUUGUCUUAACAGACAAGCCAAACCUCCCAACAAAACCAUGGAUUGUUUUAGUAGUAUUCACAAAUGUUAACACACACCAUCCCACAAUAGCAAAAACAAUAUUCCAAACCGUAGAUACAGUAUAAAAACCUCGGCUUCUGCAAUGAUAUCAGUUCAAAAACAAUAUAUCUUAGCUGAUAAUGAACAAACUAUUGAAUAAUUGACACACAGCUGAUUUAUGUUGGGUAAAUUGGGCCAACAACAGCUGAUUCCAGUCUGGCUUAUUUAAGGAGGACUUUGAGGAGUGAUGUUUUUGGAAACAGAAAAAGACAAACACUGUAAUGUCUGGACGAGGAAGAGGAAGAGCAAGGGGCCCAGGGAGAAGACCAGGUCCAGUGAGAGGUGCAGGUGCAGAAGGAGGUGCAGGUGCAGGAAGAGGAGCAGUGAGAGGUGCAGUAGGAGCUGCAGGUCCAGUGAGAGAUGUAGAAGGAGGUGCACUGAGAGGUGCAGGAAGAGGAGCCGGCCCAAGGAGAGAGCAAGGUAGAGUUGUAAGAAUGAGUGGUGGUGGCAUUCCAAGGGCUGCAAGAACUGUAGUCAGUGAUGAAAUUCGUGCCACUAUCAUUGACCAUGUAAUCAACCACGGUCUCUCACUAAGAGUCCAACCCCCCAGUUUGAGUCGGUUGCCUCCAUUAUUCGUAUCUUUCAACAAACCAACAGGUAAGUAUUGCAUUUUACAUGGUUUGUUUCUAGUCUCAUUUGACAUGUCAAUAAGGUCAUACAGUAAUGCAUUUGUUGAUUUUUUAUUUUUUUUUCUCUAAAGAAUGCAACGUCUUCCACCUUCUGGGGGAAGAGGAAAGCUCCUCAAUAAUGAUCAAGAGCUUCCCAUUGUAGAAAUGGUUAUUGCAACUAAUGCAAUUAAACUGCAUGAAAUUAAAACUAGAAUUGUGGAGGACCAUGAGAUAUUUGCCAAUAUAGAAAGCAUCAGCCUCACAACCAUUACGCGGACAUUGUCCAAACACAGAGUGCGGAUGAAGCAGCUCUACACUGUUCCCUUUGACAGGAACAGUGAGAGAGUCAAGGAGCUACGACGACAAUGUGUCCAGGUAUAGUGUGUAUUCAAUUCAAUGUCCAGUUAUAUAAGCUUUGCACUUUGCACUUUAUUUUAUUUUAUUAUACUGUUUCUACUGUACCUUCUUUGGUAAACAGUUAAGAAAAAAUAACUGAUUUGCUUUUUACUGGAAUGCGUUUAAAUGUGAACAUUACUGUACAUGUGCACAUACAGUUCCAAACCAAUACAUUUAGUGUAAAUGGUGCAUUGCAUGUUACUUGAAACAUAAAAGUCUAUGCAAUUUUUAUAUUGUCAACAAUAGCCAGAAUUUUGAAACCUGGUGUACUUCGUUUGACUACAUGUACCUUGUGAAGUGAAAACAAAUGUUAUUCUUUGACAGAAUAAUUUCAUUUUGAGUCAAUGUGUCCAGUGUUUUGGUAAAGUUAGUGUGUGCAGAGAAAGAUGUGUUCUGUUUUGAAAUUAAGAGUUGGUAUAUAUUUAACAAAAUGUGUUUUUGAGAAGCAAAUUAUACAUUUGGCCAAUUGUGUCUUGUAGGUGUGAGUCUGUUAAGAAUUUAGAAAAGAAUUCUGAAGUAUGGGUAAGAGCUUGUUAGCGAUUGAAAAAAACUGUAAAGACUAAAGUGUUUUCUGGAACACGUCACGUCCUUUUCUGGACGAUCCUGUUGAUGAAGAAGUGCUUUUACUUCGCAGCGUGUUAAACACGUCAGGAGAGAAUAUUGAGGCCCGAUUAAAUAUAUGACAUGAUAUAAACAGAUGACUACUUGUUUGAACAGUAUCGUUUUUCUUCACAGUCCAUCAAAUAUGUACAUGACCUCACCCGUCCUCACAUAACGAACGUCCCCCAUCGUGGACGUGCUCUCAAAUCUAUAUAUAGAUACUUUUCAAUUCAUUACAAUCAUACAAUGUGUUUUAUUGACACUUUAUGGUACAUUUAUUAGCAAUUAUUGCUGACCACUUUUCCAUCUUGCUCCUCAUCUCGUUGACUGGCAGACGGUUGUCAUGGUAACGUAACAUCAGGUCCGGAGCUGAUUGAAGAGGUCAUGAAUCCUGCCGUGUAUUACAGUUUUUACCAACUGCUUACACACGUUUUUAAAACUUCAAAAUGCCAUAAACACAUUUCAAAAUAAAGCAUUUGCAUCAAAUGGCAAACACUUCUUUCAUAAUAAUACAUUUUGGGAUAUACCAUGUAAACACUGCUGUUCUAAAUCUAAAGCUCUUUGGUCUUUCAUAGGCUUAUAUCGCAUUGUAUACAAUGUUCUACAGUGAAAGUGGCGUGCUGAGAGGGGUAACAAGUACACCAGAAACCCCAAUCCGAUGUAGAAACAGAAAAUAAUUACGUAUUAGGCUAAACAUUACUGUUGUAUACAUUAGCAUACAACAAAACUAUAAACAUGUAAACUAAAAGUAUAUUCUUUACAGUAUAAUACAGUGAAUUGUGUGUGGGGUUCCGGUCCAGGGGGGCAGAGGGGGUGCAGUCCCCAGUGCUCCAUCUCUUCUCCGGGUCUGGCCACAACACUUCGGCCACAUCACAAGAUACGUUUUGUCUUGCCAAACAUGGAGGGAAGUAUCUCCUAGCAUAGCGUAUCCAACCUUGGACAGAGGCCACUUUUAUGUCCCCACAUGCGUCCUCCAUUGCCUGGGGAAGCGGCGUGCGGGCUUAGGGUUGGCGAUCAUACACUUUCCAGCGCCGGGCUGAGAAGAAUUCCUCUAUGGGAUUUAGAAAAGGUGAAUAUGGGGGUGGGUACAGAACUACACAUUGUGGAUGGGUGGCAAACCAGUUUUGAACCAGACCAGCCCGGUGAAAACUAACAUGGUCCCAUAUAACCACAAAUCUAGCAGGCAUCACAACAAGCAUUGUGUGAAUUUCAUCCAGAAAAGUGAGUAUGUGGCCGGUGUUGUAUGGACCCAGUGUGGCGUUGUGAUGGAGGACCCCAUUUUGAGUGAUGGCAGCAUACAUGGUUAUAUCACCCCCCCGCUGUCCCUAUUUACAGGCCCACUAAAGCAGUGAUUAGUUAGUGAUCAGUUAGGCAAUUAGUGUUUGCACAGUGAGGAGUGUGUCUGUGUGACCUGGUAAAUAAGUGUAGCAUUUUGAUUGGUUGUGUUUGGAAAAGGAAAGCAAGUCACUUCCUGAUAGAUCUUUGUCUUUUAGGUAGAGAAUUGUGUGUAGUGUGUUUUGAAAAAAGUGUUUUAUGCCAUUGAAAACUGAGUCAAAAGCUGAGAAAUAGCUUAUGGUUUUGAAGAUUUGGCAGGUAGCACUUUGAGUCGGAGGUUUCAAAAAUCGUGUGACAUGAAAAUAUUUUGUGUGUAAGCAGUUGGUAAGAACUGUAAAAGACGGAUUGGACAUCGACCAAUCGUCUCGGCCGACAUGCUUGGACAGCGGAGUCAUGAGGUGGGGAGGAAGAUGACGAGGAGGGGAUUGAUACGCCAGCGUGUCUCGUCGGCUGAGAGGCCGGUUUAGCCAGUGAACGAGCCAAACGGACCCAUUGUCAUGGUUACAGGCGUAAAUUAACGUUCCGCCCUAGUUGAUCCAUUCGGAUCUAAAAGUGAUGGAUGAGCCUGAUGGACUCUAUCACUUCUUCUCCUGGAGACCGGAUGGAGAACAUUUUAUGUCUCCCUUAGUGGAGAGGCGGGGGCUGUGGGCCGAGGACGGGGGAGGAUACUGAGUUAAAACGUAAAACAUGUUUCAAGUUGUUUGGUGUUGUUUUACCUUUUGGUUUUUCUAAGUUGUUUUAAUGUUGUUUCACGUUUUUCACGUUUUUUUCACGUUGUUCUGCGGUGUUUCAGGUAGGGGUGGAGGGCUGAAACAGCAGUAUCUUCACCCCCCUGUGUCGCCGUAAACUCGCCUUCCCGACCUCCUUUAGUUCUGGGUAAACUUCACCUCUUUCAUCUUCCUCCGUUAUCUUGCUAAGGAGCAGUCUGUUGGUUUAACGUACUGGGGCUUCUGGGUAAAUAGGAGCUGCACGUCUUUGACUUCUCUGUGUGUCUCGUCCAAACAGACAUCGGGUGACAUCAGGGGGGGUCACUCGUCUCACCUCUCUGAUUAUCAAAUUUACCAUCCAGGCUUUUCAUGUCAAACUUUUAAUUCCCAUUUCAAUGGUUUUAUUGAACAAAUAUUGAGUAGACUAUGUUGAUUUGGACGGUGAAUGAAGCCAUUAGCCAAUCAUUGUGACAUCAUUUCUUUAUGACUAGAACAGUGACCUCAUAGCUCUGUGUGAGGUCACUGUUACAUUACAGGUCAUUUAGCAGACGCUUUUAUCCAAAGCGACUUACAUUACACUUUAAACCCGUGGCUUUUUUCACAUUUUUGCCUGAGGAGCAAUUAGGGGUUAGGUGCCUUGCUCAGGGACACUUCGACAUGGAACAUGGGGCAGCCCGGACUCGAACCACUAACCUUGUGCUUCCCAGCACACCUUCUCUAACCCUUGCGAUUCUUAAAUAUUCAAAAGAGAUGAAUCUACAAUUGAGAGCCUCAGAGGCCGGUGGGACUUCAACAUUUUUCAACCCCCCCGAGCGGAAGAUAAGUGGCUUGGCUGAACGACAAGUUGCAAUUGACUCAAAAUCCUCUGUUGCAAUGCAGACAAAGGGGUCAUCUAUUACCUCCCCACGCCCCUGCGUCCCCCUCCUCGACCCGUCUUUGGCGGUCACCUGCUUAGGAGCUCUGGGGACAUGGAGGAGCCUUGCUCCACUUCUCCGGGGCCGGGGGCUAAUUGGUGGAUGCACCAGGGAGCCCUCCAGCCGCCAAGCCACCAGCCAAGGGGCCCAUCCGCAAGCAUGUGAUCUCUGCUGAGGGCCGGGGGAGGGAGAAGGGAGCCUGGUGGGAGGAGGAGGGAGAAGUGAUUCCUGAGAGAGGAGUGGGUGGCAGGAAAGGAGAGGAGGAACUUCUAAAGCGCUCUCAGAUGUGAAAAAAGAGACUUUUUCUCGAUUUUGAAAAGUCUUUAACAGCUUAAUGUGAGUUACCUGGAGCCCAGGUGUGAACGUAGCAAGGAGGCGUCGUGGAGGCUCUCAGAGCACUGCACUGUGGGUAAUGGACUCCUUUUGUGAGCCGUCAGUGUUCAUCAGCGCGGCCAAUCGAUGGUCGCCCCGACUCCAGGACGAAGGAGGAGUAAAGACUUCUCUUUUGAGUCUGGAGGGGUUCAGUCCAUCGCCGACGGCAACGCUCCCAGAGGGCCUCGUUCACAGGAACGAGAACGAUUGAAACCAUGAGAAAAAAGCUGGAAUAAAUCUUUAUAUAGUACUUCCUCUAUAUUUUACAGAACAGCUCCCUGAAUUUGUGAUUAUGGACUGAAAAUGUGUUUUAUAGGAAGAGGAUACAUAAUAAAUCCUGUAAAAGUAAUCAUGUGGGAUCAAACAAAAGAAGGGGAUUCUGCAGAAGGAAUGGAAAUAAGAUAUCCACGACAAUCCACAUAAAUACAUGAAUUGUUGGUAUUUUUGUAUGUUUACAGGGAGCUUCUCAGGAGAGGCGGAGCCUGCGACCUGGUGGUCGUCAUGGUGACAGACGAGGUAAAUGGAAGCCGUUGUUCAGCCGCAGGGUUCAACACCUCCAGUCCGUUUCCAGUCCUGGGGAGGCUGGUGGGCCUUUUGUCCUCCUCUUGUCGUGUGACGGGAGACGCAGGUCGGGAGGGGGAGGGAUGGGGGGCAGCUGCCAGGCGCUGUGACGCGCUCACAAAGCCUUUACUCUGCUAUCAGCUCCUUUUGUUGUUGGUUCUUUCCACCAUAUCUGAUGGACCGAGCUUAUCGCCGGGGAGGAACCCACCAGAACCAGGAGCGCUCCUUUUUAACACCAGGUCCCCGGAGGAACAGCGGUUUGAAUGUCACGUCCACGCCGUGAUGUCAGGAGAGAAGAUAAAGAUCUGAGUGGAUCAUCGCUCUGACACUAAAUUCAACAUUCAAUGCUUGCAUGCAGCUCACAAUCAUUAAAAAUAUACAUUCUGAUGUCGCUCAGGAUGAAAACAUAAUGCAAAGAUAAAGCCAACAUCAGGCAGUGCCGUGGUGGUUAACGGCGUUCUUUGUUGGGUCGGCAGAGUGAGGGGGUGGGGGGCAGAAGAACCAAGAAGAGAGAAAAAAAACAAGACAAAAAAAAGUUUGUCCGCGCUGUUUCUUUUGGGGAGUCGUGGGAAGACAAGCAGAUACAGUACAAGAUGUCACAUGUGAAGAACGGUAAUAAAAAGCGCUUUCAUCGUGAUCAUUUUGGGAGUCACUGUCUGAGGAGAGCAAGGUCAGAGGGCAAAAGCAAAAAGUGCCGAGCAGGCAGACGCAGUCUGAUGAGGAUGAGAGUCAGAGACACAUGUGGUCCUAUGGGACAUUCCGUUCUAUCCUGAAAUGAUUGUACUUUUUGUGUUUAUUAUCAUUGUAUAACUGUCACAGACAGAAGAUGCCAUCAGGACCACGUCAAACGAGUCCGACCGAGAAGCCAAACACAGGUCUCGCUUUGCUGUGGAAACAGCUGACAGUGCAGUGUAAGAGGUGCGCUUUAGAUCUCAGCCCGUUUUACACGUGUCAUCAUGAUGACAACAGAGAUUUGGGGAUUUGGGGAGGGGGUUGAUUGACAGAUGCCUCGUUAGAAUGAGCAGAUUGAACCACUGCUUGGGUUUAGGGGGGCUCAGACUUCUCAUCAUGCUCUGCUAACAUGUGAUCCUUCUGCACAUCCCGGCCUUCAACAUCUCACAAAAUAUCUGUUUGUGUUACUUUUAAUUCUGGAAAGAUACAAAUCAGGUUUUGGGAUUAGUUUUUGUGUCAGUCUGUAAAACCAGAGGCCUCAAUGCUUUGAGUGGGGACAGAAGGCUCGGCCCUCUGAUUGGCUGUUAGAUCCCCUUCAUCAGGUCACGACUUAAUCUAUAUUCUGUUUGAAAUCCAGAGUGAAACUCAACAGCAGCUGAAAGUCUUCCUGCUACAUUUACCUUCAAGCUUCUUCUUCUUUAAAAAAAAACAAAAACAAAUUCUUGCGUUGUUUGCCUGCACGUCUGUGAGCUCGGGUUCUUCUUCUCAUAUGAAUCGAUUAGUGGAGCGCAAAAGAAUACAUCUAUUGUCUGUAAAAAUCUCUGUGGAAAUCACUUCACAAAAGAUUUGAGGUGAAUUUAUUUAAGUUCUCUGACAUUUAGUUAAGAAAACAAUAAGUUGAUCAUUGAAGGGAACAAUUUGCAAUAAACAUGGCGAUAAUUCUGAGGCGAAGCGUCCGUUUGUGACAUGUGAGAGAAAAGGUCCUUAGGGAGUCCUGCUCCAUGGAUCCGGUUACUCACUGCAUGACUUACAUCAGUGGCGAAGUCAAAUACGCCAACUGAGACUGGGUGACAUCUCUUAUUACAAAGUUACCUGAUCUUUUUCAUUCAUGACCAAAAUGAACUAAAGCAGAGAGGAAGAUGUCGGGUCGAUAAUAAAAAUAAUAAAGACGACCCGUCCGGCGGUCUGUUGGGUGGAGGUCAUGUGUUGGUCCAACCCACACAGACCGGCUGGGAGUGAGUCAACAUUUAAUUGCAGUAGAAGACUUGUGGUGCAGUAAAAGUAAAAGUUUCAUUCUGAACAAAACAGAUGCUUAUCAGAGAUAUUUUAAGAGCAGAUUUAAAAUCUACCAGGUGACUAAAAUAUUUGUCUGCCGUUUCCACCUCUUGUCUUGACAGCAACAUUUUGAUGAUAUCGCUUGUGUUUCCCUGUGACAUGUUUGUCGACCCGUCCUUCCUGCCUCUCUUUGACUCCUGAGUGUCUCAGCCGAUGUGGCCGUGUUCACAUCAGAGUCACAUGGUUUAUUACAUGUGGUCCUUCACACACUAACAGCAUCACAAUGACGGCACAUUCUGCCGUUCCCCAAUGGGACAAGACAACAUUUUUCUACAUGAAUACACUUUUUGCAUAUUUUAAAAAGAACAUCCAUUCGUCCGUCCUCAGAAUAAUUCUAUCUAUGUUCUCACACUGAUCUGAAUAUUCCGCUUUCACAAAAUGAAAAAGUCGGCAGAAGACACGCUUGCCCACUUUGCUGUUAAUUGGUUUCUCAGCGAGCCGGUGACAGCCUGUGGGGGGGGGGCACAGACAUACACGGCUUUCCAUGCCGAACACGGAUGUCUAUCCGAGUGAUGGAGUCAUAUUAGUGGGUAAUACAGAAGUUCCAGUGGAGACUGUCGUUGGUUCGAUGGAAUUCUGUAUGUGAGGCGUGAGAUGCAGCAGGAAACAAAGAAGAAGAGAAACAUGAGAAUUCAUCGUUGGUUUUUACAGCAUAAGGAAAGGAAGUAAAUGUUCUUUAAGCAGCUCCACGUCCAGUGAGGACAAAGUGUUACACAUUAAAAGGUGAGAUUCUCUUUGGGGAAACAUGGACACGAGGAAAUAUCGCCAUAAUAAUCAUAAUGAGGAAGAGUGCCGAUCACAAUAUAUAAAGAAUAGGAUGAUUGCAGAGGGAGGCUGCAGCCCCCUGUGAGAUCUUUGUCCUUCAGCUCGAACUGAUCUGAUGUGUGCAUCCAGCCAUGGAAGGAUUUCAUCCUUUACAACUUCUCCUUUUUCCAAAUGAACAAACAGCGCCCUCGUCUCCAGCCACAUCCUGCAUGGUCUCACAGCUACGUUUCCAUGGCAACAGUGUCCAACUGGGUACAUGCCACAAAAAACAGAGCGGGAGAGAGAGAAAGUUUCUCGCUGGAAGAGCAAACCUGGCCAGGCUUUGACUGGCAUCAUAUGCUAUUGACUGAGAACUUGAGCUCUCUUCUAACGUUGGCUUGCAGCAACGUUCCCAUGGCAACCGCAUCCCGGGGUUCACUGGCCCCCGCUCUGUUUACCCCGCACUAAUGGCAAUAAUCAAUACACAUGAUGCAACUCUGCCAUUAGUCCUCACAGAGAGAGAGACUGGUCCUCUCUCUCUCUGUGUCAUUAGCUCUGAGUGGAUAAGCAAUGCAGGUGAGCAGAGGGAGAGUCAGUGUGUUGCGUGAUGCCGUGUUCACUCCAUUUGUAACGUAAUGUCAUUUUUUACAUCCUGUAACAGGAUAACAUAAAAGGUCUAUGCACAGACGAGAGUGACGCAAAUGUGCGAUAACGCUGCGCGUUGAUGUGAAGUCUGGUCGGCGAUUCAAGCCAACAUGCUAUCAGCGGCUAGCAUCAUGUACCGCUGGAAGUGGCAGGACGCACUUCCUGUAGAAGCUCAGUAUUUAGCUACGGGUGCUCUGGUCUCUGGAACCCUUCGUCUCGUCUAAUCUUCUGUUUGUGCAAACAUUACACAAAGGACACAAAGUUGCCCCUGGAUUUGUCUCUACCUUUUUCUGCUACCAUUCGCCCCCCUGUUAGCACCGUGUUAGCUGACUGUUAGCAUUCUGUAAGCUCUCUGUCCGCUCUCUCUUAAAACAACUUUUAUUAUUCCGUGUUUUGUAUGGGAUCAGUCUCAAUAUUUGUAAAUCCUUCUGUGUGCAGUUGUACAUCAAAUACAUUGUGAAUUGUUCUGUGCACAUUUGUGAGUCGUUCUGUGUGCAUUUGCAAUUAUUGCGACUGAUCUGACCCCAUAGUUUUGUGGUAUUUCUAAAAGUCUUCAGCCUCUUUAAGCAAUUUCUCCAUGUUUCUUUUACUCGUGAGGAUCGGGAGAAAAAAAGUGAGAAAGCACUUCUACAUUCUAAGGCGCGAUAGCUGAGGACUGUUGGAAAAAAGUUGCUGCCCUGAAUGUAAAUUUAAGAAAUUGCAAACGGCAGUGUUUUUUUUUUUCAUAGCGGACAAUGUGAGGAUGCUUUGAAGCUGGUGUGUUGAUUCCCGCAUCAGCACGCUGGCUUUAAUCUUCCACAUUUGUUGUUCCUUUAAUCUCGGUUCUGUUGUUUGCUCCUAUUUUGCGCACAAGGAUCAUCGCGGCUCCGGCUUAUUUCUCUCACUGCUCCGGAGUGCUGCUCCCCAUCGGCGAGUCCGACUCCGCACGCCACCGGCCAAACCCACGCAGCCAGGAGGCGUUGGGCCGAGGUGCGAUGGUUAAACCGGAGCAUCUCUGGCUCGCCGCACACACACACGCAUCAUUUCCACCCGUCUCCACUCUGGCUGCUUUUCUUCUGCCGGUUUAAUGCUGCCUCGGGCUCAGCGGCUCUUGGCCGCGUUCCUCUCCUGUUUGAGUCUGCCACAAGAGAGGCCUCCUUAAAGGAGGAGGAAUAAAAAGAUGUCUUUAGAGCGCUUGGAGUCUGUGAUGAGCUGAUUACCGCUCAGAGGAUGCGACUCGUCCUUCUGAUCCAACCCGCCAUGAAGCAACGCCGACACAUCUCACAAAGGCUUGCUCCGACGGAAAGAGAAAAGAUUCAACAACUGCCAGUUUUUGCAUUUGAAAAUUGGCUCCGAUAUUUGCUGCUUCCAGAGGUAACUAUGUAGACUUUGGUGACCCCUUGACCGCUCCUCUGGCAUUCUGAUGGAAUCUUAAUUCCACUGGUUUGGUAAAAGAUAUUCAUGAUACAUCCAUAAGGAAUAUCUCUGUGUUCAUAGUCCCAGGAGGAUGAGUUCUAAUUAUUUGAGUGAUCCUGUGAUCUUCAUUCCUCUGUAAGCAUCAUCCCACAGACAAUCUACAUCUAUGGCAGUGGAAACCAGGGCUGGGCGGUACACCGGUCCAAUACUUCCAAUACCGUUCAUACCCGUGUUACGCCAUAACAACUGACGUUGCUCAGAAUAUAUUCCUACACGACAUCGCUGAGUGUUCAGCGGUCAAACCUACUGGCCUUACGUGUGUUGAGAUAGAGUCAUGGUUAUAACUUUAUGACAACAAUGAAUAACGCACAACAAAGACUCCUUAACAGGGUAAAACACCACGACACAACAGCUUGUGACACAAAACCAUUUGUAACACGAGUUCAGGUUGCCGCGGCCCUUUUUCGGGCUCAAUGAAUUAAUGUCUUUAAAAAGCAAUGCCGUCACAUACCGGGAUACCGUCAGAAUCUUUUUAUUUUUGUCCAUACCGUCCAGCCGUAGGCGAAGCUGUACAAGCGAUGAAAAAAUAAAAUGAUUAUAAAGAGAUUCAGCAGGGUGAGCAUCAGAGGGGCAGCAUUUGAACAACUUAUAUGUAUAUGUCUCUCUCUCUCUCUCUCUCUCUCUCUCUCUCUCUCUCUCUCUAUAUAUAUAUAUAUAUAUAUAUAUAUAUAUAUAUAUAUAUAUAUAUAUAUA
ensembl:lncRNA